rnacentral:rRNA from 1 species
GAUGAACGCUGGCGGCGUGCCUAAUACAUGCAAGUCGAGCGAACAGACGAGGAGCUUGCUCCUCUGACGUUAGCGGCGGGCGGGUGAGUAACACGUGGAUAACCUACCUAUCAGACUGGGAUAACUUCGGGAAACCGGAGCUAAUACCGGAUAAUCUCUUGAACCGCAUGGUUCAAUAGUGAAAGACGGUUUUGCUGUCACUUAUAGAUGGAUCCGCGCCGCAUUAGCUAGUUGGUAAGGUAACGGCUUACCAAGGCAACGAGGCGUAGCCGACCUGAGAGGGUGAUCGGCCACACUGGAACUGAGACACGGUCCAGACGCCUACGGGAGGCAGCAGUAGGGAAUCUUCCGCAAUGGGCGAAAGCCUGACGGAGCAACGCCGCGUGAGUGAUGAAGGCCUUCGGAUCGUAAAACUCUGUUAUUAGGGAAGAACAAAUGUGUAAGUAACCAUGCACGUCUUGACGGUACCUAAUCAGAAAGCCACGGCUAACUACGUG